rnacentral:rRNA from 1 species
GAUGAACGCUGGCGGCGUGCCUAAUACAUGCAAGUCGAGCGAACGGACGAGAAGCUUGCUUCUCUGAUGUUAGCGGCGGACGGGUGAGUAACACGUGGAUAACCUACCUAUAAGACUGGGAUAACUUCGGGAAACCGGAGCUAAUACCGGAUAAUAUUUUGAACCGCAUGGUUCAAAAGUGAAAGACGGUCUUGCUGUCACUUAUAGAUGGAUCCGCGCUGCAUUAGCUAGUUGGUAAGGUAACGGCUUACCAAGGCAACGAUGCAUAGCCGACCUGAGAGGGUGAUCGGCCACACUGGAACUGAGACACGGUCCAGACUCCUGCGGGAGGCAGCAGUAGGGAAUCUUCCGCAAUGGGCGAAAGCCUGACGGAGCGACGCCGCGUGAGUGAUGAAGGUCUUCGGAUCGUAAAACUCUGUUAUUAGGGAAGAACAUAUGUGUAAGUAACUGUGCACAUCUUGACGGUACCUAAUCAGAAAGCCACGGCUAACUACGUG